CAGUUUUGGAACAAGCCAGGAUCUUAAACCAGCUUCAACUGUGGUUUAAGAUCCUGGUUUGUUCCAAAGCUG